rnacentral:misc_RNA from 1 species
GAGAAGCCUUUUUUUGCUUCAGUUGCCAAAGCUCUUCGACCUGGAGGUGUUGUGUGUACUCAGGCAGAGAGCAUCUGGCUUCACAUGCAUAUCAUUGAAGAUAUUGUUACAAACUGCCGCCAAAUAUUCAAAGGCUCUGUCAACUAUGCAUGGACUACAGUUCCUACAUAUCCAAGUGGAGUGAUUGGGUUUAUGCUCUGCUCAACUGAGGGACCUUCUGUUGAUUUCAAGCAUCCAGUCAACCCAGUAGAGGUGAACGGCAUCGACACCGCGAAGAGUCCGCUCAAGUUUUACAACUCCGAGAUUCAUUCAGCAGCUUUCUGUUUGCCUUCUUUUGCGAAGAAGAUUAUUGAUUCAAAAUGAAUAUGAAAACAUUCCCCACAGCAUUGAAGAAUGAAGAAGCAGAAGUUUGCUGUCUUUGAGCGCCAUCUUUCAUCCUCAACCAUGUAUGUAAUAAGUGAGACUUAAAUUAGAGUCGGAAUGGUCGGUUUUUAUUGUGAUCAGGGUCAUAAAGUUUCUUGAGAUUUUAUUAGUAGUAGAAAUAGCUUUUGUUUUCCCCAACAAUUUUCCCCAUCUUUUCAUUGUAAUGUGACCUCUGAUGUUCUAGGUUGAAUAAAUAGGCUAAAUAAUUAUAUUUAGCCCCCCUAUGUUUGGGUUGGUCUUUUC